GGCAGCCAGAACAGACACGUAACACUUAUUUGUGUAUCACACUGUAUACAGGGUGUCUCAAAAAAACCCAAAAUCAGUGAAAUUGACGUAUUGUUCGAUAUUCAAUGCCCUAGCACUAAGUUAAUCCCACGAGUGCAUAAAAGAUUGACAUAACUGCUAUAAUGAAUGGUAAUACUCAGCGUAAACUUGUUAUGUCAGGCAUAAAGUACUAAACCCACGAAUGCAUAUUACGCAUAUUACAAUUUACGAAGCAUUUUUUAAUUCCCAUGAGCAAACAAACGUUCACUUUACAAAGAUAUUUUAAUUUUUUAAAACAAAUUAAUCACCCUGUCAAAAUCCUUUGUGUUACGGCAUUGAAAUUCGAACAAUACGUUAUUUCAAU